UACGUAGGGGGCUAGCGUUGUCCGGAUUUAUUGGGCGUAAAGAGCGUGUAGGCGGCCAGGUAGGUCUGGUGUGAAAACUCGAGGCUUAACCUCGAGAUGUCAUCGGAAACCAUCCGGCUAGAGUCCGGAAGAGGAGAGUGGAAUUCCUGGUGUAGCGGUGAAAUGCGCAGAUAUCAGGAAGAACACCAAUGGCGAAAGCAGCUCUCUGGGCAGUAACUGACGCUGAGGAGCGAAAGCGUGGGGAGCGAACAGG
rnacentral:rRNA from 1 species